rnacentral:tRNA from 1 species
AUUUAAUUAGUUUAAAAAAAAUAUUAAUUUGUGGGAUUAAAGAUAAAUUUUAAUUUAUUAGAUA